AUUGAACGCUGGCGGAAUGCUUUACACAUGCAAGUCGAACGGCAGCACGGGGCAACCUGGUGGCGAGUGGCGAACGGGUGAGUAAUACAUCGGAACGUGCCCAAUCGUGGGGGAUAACGUAGCGAAAGUUACGCUAAUACCGCAUACGAUCUACGGAUGAAAGCGGGGGAUCGCAAGACCUCGCGCGAAUGGAGCGGCCGAUGUCAGAUUAGGUAGUUGGUGGGGUAAAGGCGCACCAAGCCAACGAUCUGUAGCUGGUCGGAGAGGACGACCAGCCACACUGGGACUGAGACACGGCCCAGACUCCUACGGGAGGCAGCAGUGGGGAAGUUUGGACAAUGGGCGCAAGCCUGAUCCAGCCAUUCCGCGUGCAGGAUGAAGGCCUUCGGGUUGUAAACUGCUUUUGUACGGAACGAAACGGCUCUCUCUAAUACAGUGGGCUAAUGACGGUACCGUAAGAAUAAGCACCGGCUAACUACGUGCCAGCAGCCGCGGUAAUAC
rnacentral:rRNA from 1 species